rnacentral:rRNA from 1 species
UUUCCUACGGGGGGCAGCAGUGGGGAAUAUUGGACAAUGGGCGAAAGCCUGAUCCAGCAAUGCCGCGUGAGUGAUGAAGGCCUUAGGGUUGUAAAGCUCUUUUACCCGGGAUGAUAAUGACAGUACCGGGAGAAUAAGCUCCGGCUAACUCCGUGCCAGCAGCCGCGGUAAUACGGAGGGAGCUAGCGUUGUUCGGAAUUACUGGGCGUAAAGCGCACGUAGGCGGCUUUGUAAGUUAGAGGUGAAAGCCUGGAGCUUAACUCCAGAAUUGCCUUUAAGACUGCAUCGCUUGAAUCCGGGAGAGGUGAGUGGAAUUCCGAGUGUAGAGGUGAAAUUCGUAGAUAUUCGGAAGAACACCAGUGGCGAAGGCGGCUCACUGGACCGGUAUUGACGCUGAGGUGCGAAAGCGUGGGGAGCAAACAGGAUUAGAUACCCUAGUAGUCACU